rnacentral:rRNA from 1 species
UACAGAGGGGGCAAGCGUUGUUCGGAAUUACUGGGCGUAAAGGGCGCGUAGGCGGCCCGCUAAGUCGGACGUGAAAUCCCCGGGCUCAACCCGGGAACUGCGUCCGAUACUGGCAGGCUUGAAUCCGGGAGAGGGAUGCGGAAUUCCAGGUGUAGCGGUGAAAUGCGUAGAUAUCUGGAGGAACACCGGUGGCGAAGGCGGCAUCCUGGACCGGCAUUGACGCUGAGGCGCGAAAGCCAGGGGAGCAAACGGG